UAUUUCUGGGGCUAGCCAAUAUGCGAUGUAACUAUUCAUCGCUAUAUUGAUUUUUAUAUCUGAUGUAGAUGGAUCAAAAGACAUAUCC
rnacentral:tRNA from 1 species